rnacentral:rRNA from 1 species
AGGUUUAUUUAUGUUCCUGCACCACAUAAUGCGGCUGCUAUAGCUGGGAUGCUUCAUGAGUCGUUGGUGGAAUGGAAUCUUGAUGAGAAGCUCUUGACCGUGACAGUUGAUAAUUGCAACGUCAACGACAAGGUAGUUGAGGAGAUUGUGGGCAAGAUAGGAAAAAAUAAGCUUCUUUGUGAAGGUACUCUACUUCACAUGCGUUGUUCUGCACAUAUUCUGAAUUUGAUAGUGAAGGAUGGCUUAGAUGUCAUGAAAUCAGCUAUAGAAAACAUCCGUGAAAGUGUGGCAUAUUGGACUGCCUCACCAAAAAGGGUGGAACAGUUUGAGGAAAUGGCUAAGUAUAAGAAAGUUAAAAUAACAAGGGGGUUGAAACUUGAUUGCAAGACUAGGUGGAACUCUACUUUCAUAAUGCUUGAUAUUGCUUUACCUUAUAGACUUGUGUUU